rnacentral:tRNA from 1 species
GGGCUGGGGCUCAGAGGUAGAGUGUUCACCUAGCAUGCGUGAGGCCCUGAGUUCCAUCCUCAGCACCACA